rnacentral:rRNA from 1 species
UACGUAGGCAGCAAGCGUUGUUCGGAAUUACUGGGCGUAAAGGGUGCGUAGGCGGCUUUUUAAGUUUGGUGUGAAAUCUCCCGGCUCAACUGGGAGGGUGCGCCGAAUACUGAGAAGCUAGAGUGUGGGAGAGGAAAGUGGAAUUCCUGGUGUAGCGGUGAAAUGCGUAGAUAUCGGAAAGAACAUCAGUGGCGAAGGCGGCUUCCUGGACUCAUACUGACGCUGAGGCACGAAAGCAUGGGUAGCAAACAGG